GGUUCACUUGAGUUUAAUUUCACUAAUCACACAGGGACAGUUAUUUUUUGCUCUUGCUCAGCUUCUCUUUCACAUGCAAGCACGUUAACACACACACACACACACACGCACACGCGCGCACACACACACUCACUCACGCUGCAUCCCUCCCGUUCUGUUGCACUGAAGUCCAGAUUUGCUCUGACCAUUCCUGCACACAAGCAGAGAGCGACACAACAUGACGGUGCCUAAGACCAUAGAAACUGCCACAGAGGUGGGGGCAGAGAUCAUCUUCAAGGUUGCUGUCAUCUGGAAUUUUAUGUCCUUCAUUUUCUUUCACUCUAUAUGCCUGUCACAUCGGCUUAACUACCAGAGAAGACUCAUCUUGAAACCUGACUGGAUUCUUCCAGCCUCCUUAGUUGAUGUAAAGAAAGAAAAUGCUUCUUCUUAUAGUCCUGGGCAGUACUCUGCAAGUCAUCUUGGAGAUCGCAAAGACUAUGGAGUUUUCUGGGAAGAAUCUUUCUUUCGUUUUUAUUUCUGCACUCCAAGCAGAUGCAAUAAAUGCUGCACAAGCACAAAUAUAUGUAACUUUUACCAGUGACUGUUUUUCAGGAGUGGUGCCAAAAAUGCAACCUACUGUGAUUUGUGUUUUUAAGCUGCGUAACAGAGGCCGAUCAGCUCUGCAUUUGCAGUCUAGAGGCAAACUCCUGCACUUAUACAGGCAAAUUCCAGGACUGGAUGAACAGUGAGAGCAACCUCUCCAUUUCUGUGGGAUUUUCUCUACUACCAGAUCCAGUUCUAUAAAAUAUGACCUUCAAACGGAGAGGGAACCUAAUCCUAUUCAAAGUUACACGUGCCUAAUUUCAAAGCUUUAUGCCUGAGGGCUAUCCACACUGAGAGAGAUACUGCAUGUUGCUCACUCUUCUCCCCAUUCACACACUUUUAUUGCUGUGAUUCUGUUGUAGAAAAUAGCUUAUAAAAAAGACAGUUUGAGAUGUUGUAUUCCUUUCUCCACCAGUAAAGCAUAGCCAAACAGACACUACGAACAGUAUAGUUUCUUUUUGUCUUUCCUCUUCUUAGAAAUGCUGGUUUACAAUGGGUUAAAAAUCUACUGCUAAGCACUGGCCAUUUUAAGGUGUAUUCUUCUCCCCUGCUGAUUUGCCCUCUGACCUUCUGGGGGCCAGGGUGGCUGCAGACUUCAUUUUUACUCUAUUUCCUGGUCUCUCUCUUGGCUGUGCACUCAAUGUUUCCACAGCAGAUUAAUGACAGCUAAUAAUAUCUGAUAUAUCUGGACAUUGCCACAUAAUGAGUUGCAGUCCCACUGGGUGCCCAAAGUGUCACUACUAACAAAUUCACCAGAGCUGCACAUAAUUAGCAUGUAAAGGGAGUGAUCAUGCAGUAAAUCUGGAGGGGAAGAUGGAUAGCCCAUGAGGAAAAAAUAUAAGGAAAAACUACUGUUCUUAACACUCAUUGGUAUAUGUAUGUUUCUUGCCAUGAAUAUUUCCUUGAUAACAAACUGUGGACAGGUUACCUUUACAGUAACAUUAUUCCUUCCACGGCUGAUAGGCAGAAUUUCAUUAUGCCACUGCUAAUGUUACAAUAUUUCUGCAAAAUGUCACCAUAUGUAAAUUAGGAGAGGUUAGGGUUUCAGUCUUAGUUUUCUUUCAAGAUGCACUGUCCCUUUCUGCUAUGGCCUAAUUCCCUUUUCUUCUAGUUUACAGACAUGCUAACAUUGGCCCAACCUUGCAAAAUGAAAUUGGCAUUGGAGGACCUUCCUUCUCCAAUAACUAAAUAAUGAAGAAACUCCACUCAGGAUGGAGCAAUGAUAUGGGAGUAAAAAUGAGCUUACUUGAUAAGGUUUUAUCCAAAGCAUAAUCUUUUCUGACAUGUCAGAACAUACCCAAUAAAAUAAAAUAAAAUAGGGUGCAUGGACAACGUGAGUUGCCUGACCUGAUCUGCACACAGGUCUCUCUAACUUGUGACCAUCUGGCUGCCCAUCACACCCUAAGUGCAGUCUACAGCCUGGGUCUGGGCAAAGAGGCUUUCCCAGGAGGACGAGGAGGUCGACAAGGAGCAGAUGAAUUGUCCUGAUGGGCUGCCUUCAGCCUGAAGAGCCCUAAAUAGGGCAGCUUUGCUCUAGUUUAAGUCAGUCAUUUGUCCUCAUUAGAAACCAUUGCUCAGCAGUGUUAAAGACUUCAUUUUGGUUUGAGGUGGUGACAUUUACAGGCCUUUUGUUUCUUUGACAUCUGUGUGGGAAAACUUGCAUUUAUGUGACUCCAGCUCUGAGGUUCAUUUGAGCAAUUGCCCAAAAUGUGGCUAGUUUCAAGUGCAAGGUUUUGGGAUGUUUUAAUUAUUGUUUUGAUUAACAGAGAAGCCUUUGGCCCUGAAGGCUUCAAACUUUAAACUGUUCUUGUUCUUAAGGCACUUCUGUCAUUUAGGAGGAAAAAAAGAGUUAACAACGAAGCCUAACUUAAAAAACUAAAUCCAAACCCCAACAAACAAACAAAAGAUAUUGCCUAUAACACAAAUAUUUUCCCAUAACAAAUAACUAUUCAAAGAUGAAAAAAAUGCAUGUUAUUUUAUUUAUAUAAAUUUGUAUAAAUUUAUAAAUCUAUAUAAAUUGAUCAAAAUAAUACCAAUAAACAAAUUAUAAUUUAUAAGAUAUAUAUAUGUUCUAGUUAUAUAAAUUUAUGUAAAUAUAUAAAAUCAUAGCUAGUUUAGCUUAGUUGAAUCUCUGCAGUCACCUUUUGCAGAGAAGAUGUUUGGCCAGGAGAGUCUUGUGAUCCUCAGGCUGAGCAAGCAGAAGCUGACAGAAACAAUUUUAUAUCAAAGGCAGAAGUUUCACAGAGCUCAGGUACCAGCCUGUGUUUGGGAUACUGGUGAGCGCUGCCAAUAAACCUUGACACUUUUAAUAAUGUGAACUGCUAUUCAGCAGUGCAGGGAUGCACCCUGGAAAUAAUAGUAUCUUCUCCUGCCCACUACUGCAUUCCUAUUUCUGUCAUUAGUUAAGUGCUCAUGAGCUGAGCCCCACAGAUCAGCUCAUAAGCUCCAAAAAUUUCUGUAUUCUCAACUCAUAGUGAGUUUCAUGCUGGCUCGUGUUCUGUUGAAGAAUCACCUUUUGGAGUCAUGUGACUUUAAAGUUUAGACACUUUUUUUGAAAAAGAAGGUUUCUAUACUACAUGUAUAAACCCUGGUGAUGUAAAAACAGCACAGCUCAUUAAAAAGCAAGCAUUUCUUUUAAAAAUCCUGCAAGUUUUGCACCUUAGAAAGGGAAAUCCUAUUGAAUUUUGGAAGGAAAGAAAAAAGAAAAAAAGGAAGAAAUUUAAAAUCUUUAAAAUUUUCCUGACAAGAACCAACUUUAUUUUGAAUCCCUUGUUCUAUUGCCUUGUCUCUGCAAUCCAUAUGGUAACUCUCAGCACAAUUAUUCAAGAUUCAUCUUUUCACAUAAUUUCUUUGAAUACAAAAAAACCCAAAUGAAAAAAAAAAAACAAAACAAACAAAACGAAAAAUUAAAACAAGGCUUAUAUUGUUUAUCUUGUUUUUAAUGAAAGAAUGAUGCUCACAGCCUAUCCAACUCCCACAGGGGCCUUUUUUUAUACAAUCUUAAUGAUAAUUAACUGACAGUGAUUGAUGGAACUGAGGUAAGAGUAGAUGCAACUGCACCAUCCUACCCAAUUCAUUUUUCUAUUUUUUAUGAGCCUUGGUUUAUUUCUAAAUAAUAUAAAAUGUAUUAUUUGUCCAAUUUAAAUUUCACAUUUAAAGUUCAUCAGAAAUGCAUUUGCCCAAUUGUUUUGUCACCUUGCUGACUGGGAUUUCAUAUAGUCAGAUAUCAUUCUGUGUCAAGUUUAAGGAAGGCAAGUACUUUUGUAUUGGAAAUACAUGCAAACAUUCACAUACAUUUCCAUAAGUUUUGUAGAUAAAAGUAUUUCUACUGGAAAAUGUGCCCCAGCACACUGAGGCUGUACAGAAUUUUUGAAUAUGUCCACAUGGAAUUACAUUGAAGGGAAUAUGAGUCUUUUUUAGGUUUGUUUCAAAAUAUUGUUGUUAGCAUUGUAGUCACCUCUAGGGGUAUUUUUUAUAUGCACUGAACUGUAUUUCCACAAAAUCAUCUUUGCUGAAAAACUCCCAGAGUCUCACGUCCAACUUUGGUCUUGUUGAAUAUCACAGCCUCUUACACAUUGUCUAGAAUGACUACAUGAAAUUACAUUCUUUUUCCUUAUUCUUCAAAUCUGUUUUAAAUAAUUGUUGCUGUUCUGUUAGUUGUGUCAGCCUUAAAAUUUUGUAUAUAUAUCAACUAUUUUAAAAGCUUUUGGCAGAGUUCUAUUGCUUUAUCAGGAAAAUGGUCCAAUUUGAAAUGUGUAUGUUACACAGAAGACUUCAUGUUUUGAAUUUCUUCAUCUGACAGGUGAAUUCUCUCUGGUAUUUUAUCACUUCUUACAUUUAAAUGAUAUUAUUUUAA